rnacentral:rRNA from 1 species
GACGAACGCUGGCGGCGUGCCUAAUACAUGCAAGUCGAACGAGAGCAACCGGUGCUUGCACUGGUCAAUCUAGUGGCGAACGGGUGAGUAACACGUGGGUAACCUGCCCAUCAGAGGGGGAUAACAUCCGGAAACGGAUGCUAAAACCGCAUAGGUCUUCGAACCGCAUGGUUUGAAGAGGAAAAGAGGCGCAAGCUUCUGCUGAUGGAUGGACCCGCGUUGCAUUAGCUAGUUGGUGAGGUAACGGCUCACCAAGGCCGUGAUGCAUAGCCGACCUGAGAGGGUGAUCGGCCACAUUGGGACUGAGACACGGCCCAAACUCCUACGGGAGGCAGCAGUAGGGAAUCUUCCGCAAUGGACGCAAGUCUGACGGAGCAACGCCGCGUGAGUGAAGAAGGUGUUCGGAUCGUAAAACUCUGUUGUUAGAGAAGAACAAGUGCUAGAGUAACUGUUAGCGCCUUGACGGUAGCUAAACAGAAAGCCACGGCUAACUACGUG